rnacentral:snRNA from 1 species
GGAUGUAAGGACGAUCUGCCUGCGACAUCUGUCACCCCACUGAUAGCCAGGGUUGAUUCCGCUGAUCUGGCUGGCUAGGCGGGUGUCCCCUUCCCCGCUCAACGCUCCACGUGAGUCCCUCCUGAAGCUGCAUGCUCUGUGGAAGAGGACGACCACCCCCGAUAGAGGAGGACCUUUCCUCUGUCAAGGGUAUAUAAGUAGCUGCGCUCCUCUCCUAGAACCUCCAAACAAGCUCUCAAAAAUAAACAUCCACAAUUUUUCCAUGGUUUUUUGACAAACGAAUAAUGGUGUUGUGUAUCUUUAAAUGUUAGUUCUGGAUUGUUCAGGUAUGUGCAUGUCU